rnacentral:lncRNA from 10 species
GAACCUUUGUGUCUAGCUAAGGGAUCAUAAACGCACCAAUGGGCGCCCUGUCAAUGAGACCACUCGGCUCUACCAGUCAGCAGGACGUGGGUGGGGCCAGAUAAGAAUAAAAGCAGGCUGCCAGAGCCGGCAGUGGCAACCAGCCCGGGUCCCUUUCCACACUGUGGAAUCUUUGUUCUUUCACUCUUUGCAGUAUAUCUUGCUACUGCUCACUCUUUGGGUCCACACUGCUUUUAUGAGCUGUAACACUCACCGCGAAGGUCUGCAGCUUCACUCCUGAGCUAGCGAGACCACGAACCCACCGGGAGGAACGAACAACUCCAGACGCGCUGCGUUAAGAGCUGUAACACUCACCGCGAAGGUCUGCAGCUUCACUCCUGAGCCAGCGAGACCACGAACCCACCAGAAGGAAGAAACUCGUAAACCCAUCCGAACAUCAGAAGGAACAAACUCCAGAUGCGCUACCUUGAGAGCUGUAACACUUACCGCCAGGGUCCGCGGCUUCAUUCUUGAAGUCAGUGAGACCAAGAACCCACCAAUUCCGGACACACUGGGAGUGUAGUCUCUAUGUCUCAAGAAUUUAGCAAGAUAUUGAUAAAAUUUGGAGGAGGAAGACAUCACAGGGAUAGCGGAAAGGUUUUCAGGAUAAGACCACGGUGUGGAGCGUCAAGGUGUUUUGCCUGGCGCUCUGUAACUGCAUGCUACUUCUCUUUUGUGUGGAGCCACCAUUGCUUCCCUCUGACGUGAUCUGUGUUCAAUCCAGAAAACUACUGUCUUCUGUCAAGAUCAUAAACUGGCCGGGCGCGGUGGCUCACGCCUGUAAUCCCAGCACUUUCGGAGGCCGAGGCGGGCGGAUCACAAGGUCAGGAGAUUGAGACCAUCUUGGCUAAAACGGUGAAACCCAGUCUCUACUAAAAAUACAAAAAAUUAGCCGGGCACGGUGGCAGGAGCCUGCAGUUCCAACUACUCAGGAGGCUGAGGCAGGAGAAUGGCGUGAACCCGGGAGGCGGAGCUUGCAGUGAGCCGAGAUAGCGCCACUGCAGUCCGCCUGGGAGAAAGAGCGAGACUCCGUCUCAAAAAAAAAAAAAAAAAAAAAAGAUCAUAAACUCAGCUGAUCUGUUUGUCUAGCUCCUCUGUUACCUCUCUUUUGCCAUGAAUAUUUUAUUUACAAGAUUCCAUCAGCAGAAUGGAUGCUUUGUUUUCUUUUAUAGGCUAGAUCAAGCUCACAUAGAUAUCUUACAUUCUGGGAGGUGUCAAGAUUACCAAGACACUUAAACACAGGCAUUGAAUGGAACAACACUCAACUUACACGGAGAAGAGGAGACAGCAAAAUCAGCUUCAAUAGUCAUAAUGCCGCGAAUUAUAACUGAUAGAAUAACUGGAUGAAGCUUUUGGAGCCUUUGAGAGGAAGAUGAGUGAAAUAGCAGUAGAGGAAAAUGAAUGCUCUCCACUGUGAUGCUGCUACUCUGGGGAUCAAACAUUGAGAAGCACUUAUUGGCCUAUUGAAUAUUUGAAACCAUCCACCAUAAAUGUGCUUAAUCUGAACUGUGAAGUCUCAUGUGGCACAAAUGACUUCCCCAACAUUGUGGUAAGAGGGUGACUUUAGCUUGGCUUCCACCUAACUAGCUUGUGCCACUAAAGACAACCCCAACCCCCAUGCAGAGUCUUUGCUCAGGAAAGAGCAAUGCUGCUGAACCACAAAAUGUAUUUUGUCUCAAUCCAUUUUCUGUAACUUUCCACUUACUCCCCUUCUGUAAUUUUCUAUUUCCUCCUCACUCUGCCCCAUUUGCUUCCCCCAUAGUUCCCUAGUUCUUUUUGUUCCCUCUUUUACUUUCCCACAGAUCUUUUCUGUUUUCUCUCUGUUCUCCCUUUAAAAACCUAGUUACUUUUGUCUCAGUGGGAGUUGAGCUCAGUUUGUACUAGAAUCUCUCCAUCACUGCAGUACUCAAAAUAAAACCUGUCUUUCUGUCUUUUACAAGUGUCCAGUGCUGUUUCACUCUGACAUUAAUUAGCACCUACUAAACCUUUAUAUUUUGGAUAAAAUAACAUAUUCUCAGGGAAUCCUGCCUUAACUGCCCCGACACCACCAACAACCGCGUAAGUCCAGCUACUUUGAAAUCUGCUUUGUUAAAAGGCACUUUCAAAAAAGUUAAAUUCACAAACCUUAUGCAGACAUGAGAUGAGCACAUGUCAAAAAAGCAGAGACUUUUGUAGCUCGACUUUACUAAAAUCAAUUUGCAAAUGGCUGGCUGCAAACUUGGCUUUUUCAUCAGGGUCGGGAGCUGGAGCAGAGGCAUGGGGAGAAAAGAAUAAUUUCUCCACUGCACAGAAUUUAUUUGCAUAUCUAUAGACCAGAAUUAUAGUCUUUGCUAUCAGUCAUCUCCAAUUUACGGAAUCGUAAAAUAGCUCAAAGGCAAUGAAAGCCCAGAGCCCUCACAGAAACAGAAUCAGACAACUAAGAAUGUGCUUUAAACAAUACAUAGUUUCGAAUUGGAGCACAAAUUUUCCCUAUAGCUUUUAUAUUCCAAUUUUUAAAACUAUUUUUUAGAAUGAAUAUUUGAUUAUUGUGUGUGUUUAGUUCUUAGUCAUCAUUAAUCUUUGCAAAAACAGGAAACAAAUCUGCUUACCACUUCAUCUCUAGCAUCAGGUGAAUGUAAUGUCUUAAAUAUGGUAAGUGCUCAAUAAAUAUCGUUUAAAUUAAUGAGAAAGAAAAAAGACCACAAUUUUUUAUCUGAGGAAUGUGAGCUGCUUUAAAUUGUCAGGCCCAGAAAGGCAUUUAAAAUGUAACAGCAGUCAUGUCUCACUCCCCUUUGAGCUAAAUAAUUACCUCUUGAAGGCACUUGCUAUCCAGGCUCUCUAGACAAACUAGUAUCAAGAAGCCAUAAAAUGCCGUACACCAUAGAGUUCAGCAAUGUAUAGUCAAUCACUAGCCAAUGUUAUUUUUGUAAACCAGCGGAUAUUCCUGAAAAACAACUUUUGCUUUUGUAAUCGCCCCUCCUGAUUCUUUUUUUUUUUUUUUUACUUAAAAACUCUAUCUUCUUCCUUUUUCUUUGGAACAUUCUCCAAGGCAACCAGGCUGCAGUCCUCAACCUUGGCCCAAAUAAACUCUUUAUAUUAAUUUUGCUUCAGCUUCUUCCUUUUAGGUUGACAUGAACAAUAACCUUAAUCACAGCUGAUGUUAGUGAAUAUCACUGUAUCACUUGUGGCUAUAUAAUUUUAUAGAAUCUAUACAAGCAGAAAAU